UACGAGGGGGGCUAGCGUUGCUCGGAAUCACUGGGCGUAAAGCGCACGUAGGCGGUUCGUUAAGUCAGGGGUGAAAUCCUGGAGCUCAACUCCAGAACUGCCUUUGAUACUGGCGACCUUGAGUUCGGGAGAGGUGAGUGGAACUGCGAGUGUAGAGGUGAAAUUCGUAGAUAUUCGCAAGAACACCAGUGGCGAAGGCGGCUCACUGGCCCGAUACUGACGCUGAGGUGCGAAAGCGUGGGGGGCAAACAGG
rnacentral:rRNA from 1 species